CUAUUAAGCUAGGUUGCAGUUCAUCCACAAAAACUUAAAUAUAGAAGUAUAGAGCCCUCAGGCCAUAUUUAGUUCACUUUAACACACUCUUCUGUGCAUUCUGAAUUAUAAUCCUCAUUUCUUCUCAUUCCCAAGUAAACUCAACAUAUUUAGAGAUAAUUUUCUCUACUUUUUUUUUUAGGUUGACAGUUUCAAAGCAGUUUGCAGGGAUUUCUCUUUGUCUUUAAAAACUCCCUUUUGUCCUGAUUUUCCUCAGGUGGGCUAUGACUUUCGUAGAUGCUGAGUGGAUUAAAACAAAGAGUUUUUCACAUUAUACUCUCAGAACACACUUUUUUAAAAAAAAAAUCUUUAAUCAUUGGCUAUCACAACAUGCUUCUGACACCAGAUGGGGAUUUCUCCCCACACACUAAGCAAGCAAUCAGUUCUGCAGCGGAUAGCAGCUCGGUUUCCUUUGUUCAGUUCGACUCUACUUGAAUGCCAAUCACAAGCCCCAGGUUGCUUUAGCUGUAUUCUGGCCUACCAGCUAUAAAGUAUGGAUCCUAGGACCCCCUUUGGAUUUGAUUAAUUUGCUAGAGCAGCUCACAGAAUUCAAACACUUAGGUUUCCUGGUUUAUUAUAAAGCAUACAGAUGAACGGAUGCACAGGGCGAGUUAUGGGGCUGAAAGCUCCACGCUUUCUGUGGGUCAGCCACCCUCCAUGAACCUCCACGUGUUCAGCUACCCAAGCUCUCCAAACCUAGUCUUUUUGGGGUGUUUAUGGAGGCUUCAUUACUUAGGCAUGAUUGACUAAAUCACUGGCCAUAGGUACUCAGUUUAACCUUCAGUCCCUUUCCCCUCCCCAGACAUGGGGAGGUGGGGAUGAGGCUGAAAAUUCCAAUCCUGCCUUGAUCUUUUCAGUGACCAGCCCCAUUCUGAAGCUACCUAGGGGCUGCCAGCCACCAGCCAACUCAUUAGCAUACAAAAAAUCACUUACUUAUAGAGAUUUCAAGGACUUCAGGUGUUGUAUGCCAGGAAAGACCUUUCACCCUCAAGAUUUGCUGAAAAUCAUCUGACAAAACAGCGAUGAAUAUAUAUGACACACAAAUUUAUUAAUAUGAUGGGAGAAAAUCUCAGAGUGACUACCCCACCACUGAGUGGGGUACAGAUGGUUACUUGCCCUUAAGGGCAAGGGAGAUGGGGAAGCAUAAAUGAUUUUAGGAGCUCAGUAAAUGAUUUUUAGGGGAGUUCAAUGGGCUUGAAGAACAUACAAUGGCCUCCACGAAGUCUGUUGGGCUCAGAGGGUAGACGGUGGUUUGUGACAUCUGUCCAGGUGGACUGACUUCAGACUUUCUCCCUGCAAUAUGAAUUCAGUUAAUAAAAACUCAGGGAAGGGACCAGAGAUAAUUGUUUCCUUCUUUAGGCAGAUAAGGGAGCUUCAGAGAACAACUUUAUCCUGUGCUUUGGGAGAGACAGAGAAUUGGGAGACAUGAGGUGGGGAAGGUCAGAGAGACCUUGCAGCUUCUUCAUUUCUGCAUGUCAAAGCGCCAUAUUUUGGGGAUAUCUGUUUCUGAGCCCCCAAAAUGGAGACAAAGCCUAAAUAUGUAUAUUUCACAAUAUCAUACAUGCAUACCUUUGGUUGCAAUCUUUUGCUAUUCUCAAAUAAAAUGUUUUCUUUUAGGAAGCCAGUCUUUCUAAGGCUGACAACCCAAGGGGGUGGCAUGGGUUGACUUAAGCCAGGCCUGCACAGUGGUGACCUAAGUCACUGCAGGGGCAAGUGGGGUGGGCCAGUGCAGAGCUGUGACAUAAGCAGGUGACUUUCCCUAUCAGAACUUUCAGUUAAGUCACUUCCAUGGAAGAAGGGGCUCUUCUAUGAAGAGCCUCUGUAACAGUACUGACUCCAUGUUAGAGGAAAGCUUGCUUGCUUGAAUACAAUUAUUGCUUUGCUUGAGUCUUUAGAUUAUUCACUAAAAACAGCCUCAGAAAAAGAGGACCUUCAACAGAGAUUUUUUAAAAUGUGCCAACCAACAGCUCUGGGAAUGAAUUGGCCGGCCUGACCAUACCCACAGAAGGCCACAAAGCAUUGACCAAGAAGGCAAGGAUUAAAUGCCCACCUGAGAAUGCCCACGUUUCACAAGAAUGUUUUCAUUAUUCUCCCUAAUUUCCCUUAAAAACCCCUGAUUUAGAAGCAUGACUCAGAAAGGUGAUCUUUGAACCCUAGUUCACUGCCUUCCCUGGGUUGCUGGCUUCUUGAAUAAAGCUAACUUUCCUUUC
rnacentral:lncRNA from 10 species